rnacentral:rRNA from 1 species
AGAGCGAACGCUGGCGGCAGGCUUAACACAUGCAAGUCGAGCGGGCGUAGCAAUACGUCAGCGGCAGACGGGUGAGUAACGCGUGGGAACAUACCUUUUGGUUCGGAACAACCCAGGGAAACUUGGGCUAAUACCGGAUAAGCCCUUACGGGGAAAGAUUUAUCGCCGAAAGAUUGGCCCGCGUCUGAUUAGCUAGUUGGUGAGGUAACGGCUCACCAAGGCGGCGAUCAGUAGCUGGUCUGAGAGGAUGAUCAGCCACAUUGGGACUGAGACACGGCCCAAACUCCUACGGGAGGCAGCAGUGGGGAAUAUUGGACAAUGGGCGCAAGCCUGAUCCAGCCAUGCCGCGUGAGUGAUGAAGGCCCUAGGGUUGUAAAGCUCUUUUGUGCGGGAAGAUAAUGACGGUACCGCAAGAAUAACGCCCCGGCUAACCUUCGUGCCAGCAGCCGC